UGGGGAAUUUUGGACAAUGGGCGAAAGCCUGAUCCAGCCAUGCCGCGUGCGGGAAGAAGGCCUUCGGGUUGUAAACCGCUUUUGUCAGGGAAGAAACGGUCUGCGCUAAUACCGCGGACUAAUGACGGUACCUGAAGAAUAAGCACCGGCUAACUACGUGCCAGCAGCCGCGGUAAUACGUAGGGUGCAAGCGUUAAUCGGAAUUACUGGGCGUAAAGCGUGCGCAGGCGGUUGUGCAAGACAGAUGUGAAAUCCCCGGGCUCAACCUGGGAACUGCAUUUGUGACUGCAUAACUAGAGUGCGGCAGAGGGAGAUGGAAUUCCGCGUGUAGCAGUGAAAUGCGUAGAUAUGCGGAGGAACACCAAUGGCGAAGGCAAUCUCCUGGGCCUGCACUGACGCUCAUGCACGAAAGCGUGGGGAGCAAACAGGAUUAGAUACCCCGGUAGUCC
rnacentral:rRNA from 1 species